UGAGGAAUAUUGGUCAAUGGGCGCAAGCCUGAACCAGCCAUCCCGCGUGCAGGAAGACGGCGCUAUGCGUUGUAAACUGCUUUUCCAGGGGGAGAAACUUGCGCACGUGUUGCGCAAUUGACGGUACCCUGGGAAUAAGCAUCGGCUAACUCCGUGCCAGCAGCCGCGGUAAUACGGAGGAUGCGAGCGUUAUCCGGAUUCAUUGGGUUUAAAGGGUGCGUAGGCGGACUAUUAAGUCAGUGGUGAAAUCCUGCAGCUUAACUGCAGAACUGCCAUUGAUACUGAUAGCCUAGAGUUUGGUUAAGGUAGGCGGAAUGUGUAAUGUAGCGGUGAAAUGCUUAGAUAUUACACAGAACACCAAUUGCGUAGGCAGCUUACUGAGCCGACACUGACGCUGAGGCACGAAAGCGUGGGGAUCGAACA
rnacentral:rRNA from 1 species